GGGCCUGUAAAGGUUUCGACGUUUGUGAGGAAAGAAAAGAAGCAUGCGGCAGAUGGUGCAGCCUGCCAUAAAAUGUACCAACCAAUAAAUGCUAACGACAACGAAUUAGCACUGGCUGCCUGAGUGCAGCCGCAAGCUCAGUGGAUAACACCGCUAUAAUCCUCUGAGUUCAAAAGAAGCGGUUGCUGACGGUAAAGUAAGUUGUUGAGAAGCCGUCCCAAGAUCAUUGACAACCCGGCCGGGUAAGGUUCGUCAGCCUUCCGCCUGACCAGAUACAAAGGCUGAAUAAGCAUGUAGAAGAGUUCCGGAAUUGCAGGCGGACACGAGUUCGACUCUCGUCAGGUCCACUC
rnacentral:tmRNA from 1 species